rnacentral:rRNA from 1 species
AUUCCAGCUCCAAUAGCGUAUAUUUUAGUUGUUGCAGUUAAAAAGCUCGUAGUUGAAUUUCUGGUGGGAAGAUGCGGACGGCCUCAUGGCUUGUUCCAAGUCUUCCGGCCAUCCUUGGGUGGAGCUCGUCUGGCAUUAAGUUGUCGGGCGGGGGAUGCCCAUCGUUUACUGUGAAAAAAUUAAAGUGUUCAAAGCAGACUUAUGUCGUUGAAUAUAUUAGCAUGGAAUAAUAAGAUAGGACAGCAGUGCUAUUUUGUUGGUUUGCGCACCGUUGUAAUGAUGAAUAGGGACAGUUGUGGGUAUUUAUAUUCACUUGUAAGAGGUGAAAUUCUUAGAUUAAGGGAAGAUAAACUACUGCGAAAGCAUUUACCAAGGAUGUUUUCAUUA